AUGAAUCUCCGUGGCUUGGUCGGUGGGCACACACGCGUGCACCUAGACGAUUGUUGUCUGCUGCCCGAAAUAGGAGAAAGCGAAACAUAACGAGGAUAUGAAUCAGUUACUAAGUUUGCGUGUCCUCGUGUAACGGGAGGCUCCGUGGCUCGUGUACUCGGUUUAACGUUCGUCAGUGUUAGCGGUGGCGGACUGGCUCCUCGCCGCUGUGGCGGAGGGAGUAAGUAAAUGAAAGCGUUGUUUGGAGCUGUUGGACAAAGAGCUUUUCUUCCCUCUAACGUUACCAUUGUUACAGAGCACAACGCCUGUUUUCUAACUAAUUCAGAGGUGCUUUCGGACUGUAAAAGUGAGGGGUAGCCUGUGCUCCAGUCAUGACCUCUGGCAAUGGGAAUACUAACAGCAGCCAACACAAUGGAGAGAGCAAACCAGCCCAGGCCCUAGUCAAGUCCCACAUCCUCACCCAUCUGAUAGAAGGCUUUGUGAUCCAGGAGGGGGCUGAACCUUUCCCUGUGGAACGUCCAUCUUUCUCAAUUGAGAGCCUAAGAAGACACACUUCAGACUCUAAGAUGAACAGCCUCUCACCGAAGGGUAAAACCGCCUGUAGAUUUUAAAGGACAACUUCAGUAUUUUUCAACCUGGGCCCUAUUUCC